UACGUAGGGGGCAAGCGUUGUCCGGAUUUAUUGGGCGUAAAGAGCGUGUAGGCGGCCAGGUAGGUCUGCUGUGAAAACUCGAGGCUUAACCUCGAGCUGUCGGCGGAAACCAUCUGGCUAGAGUCCGGAAGAGGAGAAUGGAAUUCCCGGUGUAGCGGUGAAAUGCGCAGAUAUCGGGAAGAACACCCGUGGCGAAAGCGGCGCACUGGACCACAACUGACGCUGAGGCGCGAAAGCUAGGGGAGCAAACAGG
rnacentral:rRNA from 1 species